AGGAGCAUUUGCUCCUUCUCUAAACCAGCUACCGAAAGGUAAAGGUCUAAAGCCCUUGUAAAUUGGCGAUAGGAGA
rnacentral:ribozyme from 1 species